rnacentral:lncRNA from 1 species
AUUAGAAUCCAAGGAAGUUGACAUGUCAUCACUUCAUUUUUUUGCACCUGCGCAUAAAUCUGAGAAACGGGAGUUUGUCAUCAUUUUUUAUCUAGACAUAGGAUAGGUUGUGUGAAAAUAUUACUGAUGUUUAACGUUAAAAAUGGACAAAAAGAUUAAUGCUAAACAACAUUUGACAUGUUUGAACGAACAUAAAUAGAUUAUUUACUAGGUUUUUUUAGCUUUUCGGCGUGAUUUUACCAGCCCCCCUCCACGUUUUGUGGGAGCAUAAUGAACGCUAAGUACUUGGUGUUAUUUGGACAUAAAUUAUGAACUUUGUCAAAAGAAACCACAUUUGUUCCGGACCUGGAAUGCCUUCCGGACCUGGGAUCCUGCCUUCUGAUGGAGAUAAUCAAAGGACCUGAGCCCUAGGACCAUGCCUCAGGACUACCUGGUAUGAUGACUCCUUGCUGUCCCCAGUCCACCUGGCCGUGCUGCUGCUCCAGUUUCAACUGUUCUGCCUGUGGCUAUGGAACCCUGACCUGUUCACCGGACGUGCUUGUUGCACCCUCGACAACUACUAUGAUUAUUAUUAAUUGACCAUGCUGGUCAUUUAUGAACAUUUUAACAUCUUGACCAUGUUCUGUUAUAAUAUCCACCCUGCACAGCCAGAAGAGGACUGGCCACUCCUCAUAGCCUGGUUCCUCUCUAGGUUUUUUGGCCUUUCUAGAGAGUUUUUCCUAGGGAGUUUUUCCUAGCCACUGUGCUUCUUUCACAUGCAUUGCUUGCUGUUUGGGGGUUUAGGCUGGGUUUCUGUACAGCACUUUGAGAUAUCAGCUGAUGUACGAAGGGCUAUAUAAAAAAAUUUUGAUUUGAUUUGAUAACAUCUAUAAUGACAUCACAAAAUGCUAAAUGAUAUGACAGGAUUAUUGUUUGGAUCACCACCAACCAUUCCAAAAGUUUGGAUUCCAAAACUAAUGUUCAUGUAUCCAAUCUUCUGAUGUUGAAGUUUUGGCGACAUGGUCUCUCUGUGUAACAUUCAAACAUUCCAUUCUCAAUACUGCAGAGCCCCAAAGAGAGAAAGUUUACGACCGGCGUUAAGUCAUAAAACUGGC